ACAAGCUUUUGGGAGAACCUCCCUUUCUCAAGUCUGAAGCAUUUCCUUCAGACUUGAGAAAGGGAGGUUCUCCUGAAAGCUUG